AUUGAACGCUGGCGGCAGGCUUAACACAUGCAAGUCGAGCGGAGAGAGGUAGCUUGCUACUGAUCUUAGCGGCGGACGGGUGAGUAAUGCUUAGGAAUCCGCCUAUUAGUGGGGGACAACAUUUCGAAAGGAAUGCUAAUACCGCAUACGUCCUACGGGAGAAAGCAGGGGAUCUUCGGACCUUGCGCUAAUAGAUGAGUCUAAGUCGGAUUAGCUAGUUGGUGGGGUAAAGGCCUACCAAGGCGACGAUCUGUAGCGGGUCUGAGAGGAUGAUCCGCCACACUGGGACUGAGACACGGCCCAGACUCCUACGGGAGGCAGCAGUGGGGAAUAUUGGACAAUGGGCGCAUGCCUGAUCCAGCCAUGCCGCGUGUGUGAAGAAGGCCUUAUGGUUGUAAAGCACUUUAAGCGAGGAGGAGGCUACUUUAGAUAAUACCUAGAGAUAGUGGACGUUACUCGCAGAAUAAGCACCGGCUAACUCUGUGCCAGCCGCCGCCGUAAAAC
rnacentral:rRNA from 1 species